UAAGGAAUAUUGGUCAAUGGACGCAAGUCCGAACCAGCCAUGCCGCGUGAAGGAUGAAGGUCCUCUGGAUUGUAAACUUCUUAUAUCUGGGACGAAAACGGGAUUUUUAUCUCAAUUGACGGUACCAGAGGAAUAAGCACCGGCUAACUCCGUGCCAGCAGCCGCGGUAAUACGGAGGGUGCGAGCGUUAUCCGGAUUUACUGGGUUUAAAGGGUGCGUAGGUGGGCUUAUAAGUCAGUGGUGAAAUCUCCGAGCUUAACUUGGAAACUGCCCUUGAUACUAUAGGUCUUGAAUUAUCUGGAGGUAAGCGGAAUAUGUCAUGUAGCUGUGAAAUGCUUAGAUAUGACAUAGAACACCAAUUGCGAAGGCAGCUUACUACAUAUAAAUUGACGCUGAUGCACGAAAGCGUGGUGAUCAAACA
rnacentral:rRNA from 1 species